rnacentral:rRNA from 1 species
AUUGAACGUUGGCGGCAGGCUUAACACAUGCAAGUCGAGCGGGGUGAUGGUGCUUGCACUAUCACUUAGCGGCGGACGGGUGAGUAAUGCUUAGGAAUCUGCCUAUUAGUGGGGGACAACAUCUCGAAAGGGAUGCUAAUACCGCAUACGUCCUACGGGAGAAAGCAGGGGAUCACUUGUGACCUUGCGCUAAUAGAUGAGCCUAAGUCGGAUUAGCUAGUUGGUGGGGUAAAGGCCUACCAAGGCGACGAUCUGUAGCGGGUCUGAGAGGAUGAUCCGCCACACUGGGACUGAGACACGGCCCAGACUCCUACGGGAGGCAGCAGUGGGGAAUAUUGGACAAUGGGGGGAACCCUGAUCCAGCCAUGCCGCGUGUGUGAAGAAGGCCUUAUGGUUGUAAAGCACUUUAAGCGAGGAGGAGGCUCUUUUGGUCAAUACCCAAGAUGAGUGGACGUUACUCGCAGAAUAAGCACCGGCUAACUCUGUGCCAGCCGCCGCAGUAA